AGAUGACUAGUUAUCUAUGUGUGCUCAGAUUGAAUUUGGGUCUAAAGUCUUUUGUUCACUUCUAGUUGCAGACAGGAAGUGGGGAGCCUCAUGCACACAGCUGCGGAAUGAAACAGAAGCAGCAGGGGAAGAGAGCUGCCGCAAUUGCUCAUCGGCUCUAGACUGAAAUAUGUGAAGGGAGGCUUUCCCACCUUCAAAUCAAACCUGGAAUCAACAGAGUUCUCAUCCCCACUUGAAAUUCCUUCUCUAAACACAGCCUUUCUCGUUGAUAAAGAAAGCCCGGGAGCUAAUUGCUAGGUAGAAGAUACAGGAAGGACUUCCUGUCCCAGGAGGAAAAGGUAGAUGCAAGGAAGGAGAACGGGCCUUUCUGCAUUACUUUGGAGGAAGAACUCAACCGUGUGUCUCUGCCCUCCACUACAGGUGCCUCGUAUGGAAUCUACAAGAGUUUGGAAGAUCAAGAUCCAUCAAAGCCUGGUGUUUAAAUACCCUGGUCUCCACGUGUCAGUACUGGAUAAUAAUGGGGAAGGACCCAUCAACUACUUCAUUUGUUUUUAUUUUCUACCCAUGAAGUAAAUGGUUUUGAUUUGUGACAUCCUGUCACUUUAGUGUGCUACCUCAUCCCUCUGGAAGAACCGCUGACAAUCAGUCAGUAACUUCUAAACCACUCACUGAAGCAAAAUUAAUCUAUGUUUUUCUUAUGAGGGUAGUUAUUACCUCACGUGUUUAUUGUGGUGCUGGAUAGUUAGUAUAGAUUCUGUUGUCUGGUGAAUUGGUUUAAAGUGUCCUUUAACCAUUGUCAAUGUUGAGAACUGCAAUGUGGUAUGGCUGUAAUAAUAGUUUUGGAGACUGCAGAUGUGGAUUUGGGCAGGUUAUCUAGUGUCUUGGUGUGGGCAUUUGCAUUGGUACCUCAUGCGUUGUUUCCUCGGAAUUACUUACUGCCCUAACAUUAAGGACUGUCUGUGAAGACAAACCGAGGAGUUCUACAGCCCACAGGGAGCAGUCAGUGGAAGCUAAAGGACUCCUAGAACUUUUGGCCUCCAUCUUAACAUCUGCUUCACUCAAGAAGGUGCACAGAUCUGAAAGUUACUGAGGGACGGUCAGCACAUAUCUGUGGUCGACCGUGUUGGCCAUGCCUGUGCUUUCAUUAGGGCAGUUCUUAGUGUUUUUUAUUGGUUAGUUUAUUUAUUUACAGUUUAAAUGUCCCCUUUCCUGGGUCACCCCUUCACAAAUACUCCAUCCUGUUAUCCUUCCCCUUUGCCUCGAAGAAGGUGCUUAAAUAAAGCCAUGAUAUUCAAUCUAAAUAAUAAUAAAAUAAUCAUUUUGUAUAU